AUUGAACGCUGGCGGCAUGCCUAACACAUGCAAGUCGAACGGCAGCGCGGGGGCAACUCUGGCGGCGAGUGGCGGACGGGUGAGGAAUGCAUAGGAAUCUGCCCGGUUGUGGGGGAUAACGUAGGGAAACUUACGCUAAUACCGCAUACGACCUUCGGGUGAAAGUGGGGGACCUUCGGGCCUCACGCGAUCGGAUGAGCCUAUGCCCGAUUAGCUAGUUGGCGGGGUAAGAGCCCACCAAGGCGACGAUCGGUAGCUGGUCUGAGAGGAUGAUCAGCCACACUGGGACUGAGACACGGCCCAGACUCCUACGGGAGGCAGCAGUGGGGAAUAUUGGACAAUGGGCGCAAGCCUGAUCCAGCAAUGCCGCGUGUGUGAAGAAGGCCUUCGGGUUGUAAAGCACUUUUGUUCGGGAAGAAAUCCGUGUGGUUAAUACCCGUACGGGAUGACGGUACCGAAAGAAUAAGCACCGGCUAACUUCGUG
rnacentral:rRNA from 1 species